rnacentral:rRNA from 1 species
UACGUAGGGUGCAAGCGUUAAUCGGAAUUACUGGGCGUAAAGCGUGCGCAGGCGGUUAUGUAAGACAGUUGUGAAAUCCCCGGGCUCAACCUGGGAACUGCAUCUGUGACUGCAUAGCUAGAGUACGGUAGAGGGGGAUGGAAUUCCGCGUGUAACAGUGAAAUGCGUAGAUAUGCGGAGGAACACCGAUGGCGAAGGCAAUCCCCUGGACCUGUACUGACGCUCAUGCACGAAAGCGUGGGGAGCAAACAGG